GGCCCCCGCGCGGCCUUCCAGAGCUUUCUCCGCCGCCCGGGAAUGCACUCGCCACCCAGCCGCCCAGACGUGUGUCCGGCGCUGCGCUUUCUCGCUCUGGCCCUCCUAGACGGUGCCCAUUUUGACGUGCUUGUAACCUAGUCAGAAAAGACGCCAUUCACCAGCCCACAUACUUUCCUCAGUGAGACAAAGAAAUAUUUAUGAUAUACUGAAACAGCUGAAGAAGUAUUCAGUUCAAAGUUCAGAGGGAAGAAACAGAGAAACAGGAGACAAGAGAGAGGCUGACGUGGUUAUUUCCACCCCAAGUGCUUGGCCCCACUCUCCAGCUCUGGGCUCCGUAACCCAUGGCAACAAGAGAAGGGAAGCAGAGUGAAGAAUGGAAACGAGAUUCAAGACAUCUUUCAAAGAUGAAGCUGACAUUGAUUUGAAGCAGAAGUUUUGGUGGGAUGCCCUCACCUAUAUGGACAACUGGCUUAUUUCAGAGAAUAUGCAAAGAGCUAGAGAAUGAGCCAGAGCCUGGAGGAGAAGAUAAUAGUGUCUUUUCAUCUUUGGAGAAAAUGGUGACCGUGGCAACCGUAAAUGGAAAGCUUCAUAAACAACACUAAUAGACAGAUGACAGACUGGGAGAAGAAUUUGCCAUGCUUACAACUGCCUCUAAAAAAAGUGACAUUGGAUUAUUACAUAAAAUAUAAAAAGAAGUCUUGCAAACUAGCCAGAAAAAGGCCGGAAACCUCAAAGAAACAUGCACAAAGGGUAUGAAGAAGUUAUUCGCAAGAGAGGAAGCUCAGAUGGUGAACUGGUAUCAGAAGGGUCACUCAAGGUCACUGGUAAUCGGAACAACACAGACCCCUUCAGACACAUUAGAAUGUCACAACUGGAAAGCUGGAUAAUACCAGGUGUUUACAAGGACAUGGGGGUGAUGGGGAAUCUUUGACUGUUGGAAGAACAGUAAAGAGUAUGAUCAUUUUGGAAAACAACCUGACAAUCUUAGUGAAAUUAGAGUGAAGAUGACAAGUUAGCCAGGAAGACAGGGAAAAAUCUGAGGUUUAGACAUAAUUUACUAAUAGUGCCCCCUUCACUUCCCAAAAUGUUCCAUUUAGGGAAGAUAAAUUAUAUAGUCAUCCUAUUUCCGCAAGUCCAUCU